UACGUAGGGAGCAAGCGUUGUCCGGAAUCAUUGGGCGUAAAGCGCGCGUAGGCGGCCCGAUAAGUCCGCUGUAAAAGUCAACGGCUCAACUGUUGAAAGCCGGUGGAUACUGUCGGGCUAGAGUACGGAAGAGGCAAGUGGAAUUCCUGGUGUAGCGGUGGAAUGCGUAGAUAUCAGGAGGAACACCCAUAGCGAAGGCAGCUUGCUGGGACGUUACUGACGCUAAGGCGCGAAAGCGUGGGGAGCGAACAGG
rnacentral:rRNA from 1 species